rnacentral:tRNA from 1 species
GGAAAAAUAGCCUAAUGGUAAGGCAGGAGCUUGCUAAGCUUUGGAUUGUAAAGAUCCUUGAAGGUUCGAGUCCUUUUUUUUCCG